AAUGAACGCUGGCGGCAUGCCUAACACAUGCAAGUCGAACGAAGGCUUCGGCCUUAGUGGCGCCCGGGUGCGUAACGCGUGGGAAUAUGCCCUUGGGUUUGGCAUACCAGCUGGAAACGGCUGCUAAUACCGGAUGAUGACGAAAGUCCAAAGAUUUAUCGCCAGAGGAUGAGCCCGCGUUGGAUUCGGUAGUUGGUGGGGUAAAGGCCUACCAAGCCGACGAUCCAUAGCUGGUCUGAGAGGAUGAUCAGCCACACUGGGGCUGAGACGCGGCCCAGACUCCUACGGGAGGCAGCAGAGGGGAAUGGAGGACAGGGGCCGCAAGGAUGAAGCAGCACUGCCGGGAGAGUGAUGAAGUUCGUAGGGUAGUAAAGCUCUAUUACCCGGGAAGAUAAUGACGGUACCGGGAGAAUAAGCCCCGGCUAACUCCGUG
rnacentral:rRNA from 1 species